rnacentral:misc_RNA from 1 species
CCGAGUGCGGGCCCUCUGGGUCCAACCUCCCACCCGUGUCUAUCGUACCGUGUUGCUUCGGCGGGCCCGCCGUCCAGGCCGCCGGGGGGCAUCUCGCCCCCGGGCCCGCGCCCGCCGAAGACCCCACCGAACGCUGUCUGAAGUAUGCAGUCUGAGCACCAAUACAAAUCAGUUA